rnacentral:rRNA from 1 species
GUCGCAUGCUCCCGGCCGCCAUGGCGGCCGCGGGAAUUCGAUUAGAGUUUGAUCCUGGCUCAGAUUGAACGCUGGGGGCAUGCCUAACACAUGCAAGUCGAACGGCAGCACAGUAAAGAUUUCGGUCUUUAUGGGGUGGCGAGUGGCGGACGGGUGAGUAACACGUAGGAAUCUGUCCUGGAGCGUGGGAUAACCCGAGGAAACUCGGGCUAAUACCACAUGAUAUCGAGAGAUCAAAAGCAGGGGACCGAGAGGCCUUGCGCUCUGGGGUGAGCCUACGUCGGAUUAGCUAGUUGGUGGGGUAAAAGCCUACCAAGGCGACGAUCCGUAGCUGGUCUGAGAGGAUGACCAGCCACACUGGGACUGAGACACGGCCCAGACUCCUACGGGAGGCAGCAGUGGGGAAUCUUGGACAAUGGGGGAAACCCUGAUCCAGCGAUGCCGCGUGUGUGAAGAAGGCCUUCGGGUUGUAAAGCACUUUAGGUGGGGAAGAAAGGUAACGAGCGAAUAACUCGUUGCUAUGACGGUACCCGCAGAAUAAGCACCGGCUAACUCUGUGCCAGCAGCCGCGGUAAUACGAAUCACUAGUGAAUUCGCGGCCGCCUGCAGGUCGACCAUAUGGGAGAGCUCCCAA